rnacentral:rRNA from 1 species
AAUAAUACCCCGGUAGUCCACGCCGUAAACGAUGAGUGCUAGGUGUUGGGGGCAUCACGUCCUCAGUGCCAAAGGAAACCCAAUAAGCACUCCGCCUGGGGAGUACGGCCGCAAGGCUGAAACUCAAAGGAAUUGACGGGGGGCCCGCACAAGCGGUGGAGCAUGUGGUUUAAUUCGAAGCAACGCGAAGAACCUUACCAAGGCUUGACAUCCCAUUGACCACACUAGAGAUAGUGCUUCCCUUCGGGGCAAUGGUGACAGGUGGUGCAUGGUUGUCGUCAGCUCGUGUCGUGAGAUGUUGGGUUCAGUCCCGCAACGAGCGCAACCCUUAUCCUUAGUUGCCAGCAGGUAAAGCUGGGCUCUCUAAGGAGACAGCCGGUGAAAGCCGGAGGAAGGUGGGGAUGACGUCAAAUCAUCAUGCCCCUUACGUCUUGGGCUACACACGUGCUACAAUGGAUGGUACAAAGGGCAGCAAAACCGGCGAGGUCGAGCAAAUCCCAUAAACGCCAUUCUCAGUUCGGAUUGUAGGCUG